AUGGGCGGAGGUAUGUUAUUGUUUUGGUCAAGAUAGUAUAUGCUUCGUGGAACUGCAGGCUUUGUGCUGUUCCGAUUUAUGAGAUACGAAAAGCAGAACGCAAAAUGUGUUGCAAAAUUGUUGGAGAGAGAAUAGGAAACCUAAGAUACAUUGACAGUCUGGGAGUUAAGAACGCAUCGCAAAUUCGGUAGUACCACAACAGAAUGACUACAGGAGCGAAAUGUACACCUCGCCACUCUAAAUUGGGGCCCAGCUCAUUGCCAGACUGCAGAAGAACGUCUCUGUGAGAUAGGAUACCCUGGACCAUAUCUAAGCUCUUAUGGGGCGUGGUGGUUACAGAAACAUCCGCCAGCUUGUCACAAGCUAUUAACAUUGGUGACUGGGCUGAGGAUGCUGUUUUGAUCAAGACUGACCCACAUCUCAUUUUGGACAAUCCCUACACCUCUCCAAACUAGUACUCCAAAUGCUCCACAAAAAACUGAGGCUUCAUCAUCAUGAAAGAUUGCCCAUCAGCUCUCGAACAUACAAGGUACUGUGGCGAAUAAGUUCCACUGCCAUCCUUGGCCUGAUGUUCCUUCCAUGGUGUGGCCAAGGAGGGGAACGAUUUGGGGUCGCACUUCUGUGCGUUGAAUUGAACUUGUGAUUGCUUAGAGUCUGCUAGUCUUUCACCACCACCAACAAUAGAUGAUGGACUGUGAUUCAUCGCGUGUCAUUCUCCCUGAUGCCACCCACUCAGACCAGGGGCACUACCCACAGGCGCCACCUAGCCACAGCAAAGGCAACCUGGUAGGACGGCCAUUGCCGGGAGUCCCGAUGCCGCAGGGGGAUGGGUAUAUACCCCUUGGCAUACGUUGGGAGUUACCGGUGCUGGCAUGAGCAGAGCGAUCCCUGUGCGGUCAGGGGGCUACAACCAACACGGUACAUGGCGCCCCCACCACAACGGACUGGCUAACGUGCUGGAUAUCAGGUGGAAAGAAAUCCAUGGUCAUCGUCGACACAGAAAGUGACACAGCACAAUGCAUCCAGGAAGGUGUCCUCGCCCAAGAGAUGGGGAAUGAGCGGGACUGAGAUGCGACAAUGAGGAAGUGGGCUAAAGAUUUCAAUGCACGAUGGACAUUUUGCACCAUGUAAGGCUCCCUUCCCCAAUUGGCUUGAUCUUCGGGAAAAUUUGAAGAAUGGUGUUCAAAACCAUACAGGGGACCGUAACAUAAAGACCGAAACAUGGGAAACUCCUUUUAAUUGCCUCUUAUGACAGACAGGAAUACCUCUGGCCUAUUCUUAUCCCCGGACGUGCAGGGCAAUAACCAUCAGUGAUUUCACCAUACAGGCAAAGCAAAGAUGACUGAUGUGAAUCUACUACUUACUAUCUAAACAUUUUGGGGAUGACUGGAAGAGCAUAGGAGAUUUAGAUUUCUGUGUGAACUUCGUAUUGUAACGGGCAGUAAGGAAGAGGUUUGUACAUCAGCUUGUUCUUGCUUGAAAGGAGCGUGACGACCUUACCAAAUAUGGUAGACUAUAUCUGCUAGAAAGAACUCGGGGGAGGGGGAAUGGGACUAAGUCUACAACACCUGUGAUGUUUCUAAUGGGUCUCAUACCUGGUACCUCACACGUUUCAAAUUCUCGUUACAGAGAUAAUGUUAGGAUAACAUAUUUCUUUGUUUAUUUUAGAUGAAAAUAUGGUCUUCCAGAACUUACAGUUUCUGUUCACUUUAUACCAUGAAGUGAAAGAAGUCAUGGGAUACCUCUUAAUAUAUUGUCAGACCACCUUCUGCCUGACGUAGUGCAGCAACUUUAUGUGGCAUGGAUUCAGCAAGUCAUUAGAAGUUUGCUGCAGGAAUAUUGAGCCAUGCUGCCUCUACAGCCACCUAUUAUUCUAAAAGUGUUGCUGGUGCAAGAUUUUGUGCACAAACUGACCUUUUAAUUUUGUACCAUAAAUGCUUGAUGGGAUUCAUGUCAAGUGAUUAAGGUGGCCAAAUCAUUUGCUCAAAUUGUGUAGAAUAUUCUUCAAACCAAUCAUGAACAAUUGUGGUGUGGUGAUAUGGUCAAUUGUCAUCCACAGAAAUGAAGUCCAUAAAUGGUUGCAAAUGGCCUGCAAGUAGCUGAACAUAACCAUUUCAUCAACCAUUGGUUCAGCUGGACCAGAGGAUCCAGUCCAGUCUAUGUAAACUCAGUCCACACCGUUAUGGAGCCACAAACUUCUUGCACAGUGCCUUGUUGAUAACUAUGGUCCGUGGCUUAAUGGGGUCUGCAUCACACUAUAAUCCUACCUUCAGCUCUUAGCAACUGAAACAGGGACUCAUCUGACCUGGAUAAAGUUUUUCAGUCAUCUAGGGUCCAAUCAGUAUGGUCAUGAGCCUAGGCGAGGCACUGGAGUCUAUAUCGUGCUGUUAGCAAAGGCACUCCUAUCUGUUGUCUCCUACCUUAGCCCAUUAACACCAAAUUUCACCAAGCUGUCCUAACGGAUACAUUCAUCAUGUCCCACAACAAUUUCUGCAGUUAUUUCCUGCAGUGCUGUUUGUCUGUAAACACUGACAAUUCUAUGCCGCAUUUGUCAAGACUGUACACCGAGUUCCUUUAAUUCUUUGUUCUUAUAUUCCUCCCUCAUUCUUUCUUCCUCUAGCCUACUAACAGCUUGUCUAAUUAAGAAAGAAAAUGUAUGCACUGAGAUACUGGAACCUCCAAUAACAUGACGACUGCCAUGAGGUCAUAGCAGAGCCUCACCCCUAACACUGUGUGCCUGGUUUGGCCUGGUGGUGAAACAUGUGUCACUAUGCAUGUGGCAGUCAACAUGUUACAGUCACAUACACUAUUAAGACUUCUUUUCAUUUCUUCCCCUCCUCUCCCCUCUCCACCUCUAAGGAACUAUACAUCUCUUAGCAGAAGUUCCUUAACAUUUUUCCUCAUCCUUGCCACUUAUUCUGAUUUUCUUCCUAACAUGUAUGGCAGUGAAAUGGAUGAUCUUGAAACCUCCACCAGCAAUAAAAAUUUAUUCACAUUGCGAGAAAAAAUAAAACAACAGUUUACAAUGCUUGCACUUCAAGAUGACAAUCACUUGAAAUGAUGUCAUGUAGCUGGCCACACAUCGCAUGUCUUAAAGAAGUUGGACUUCACAUCUUGCAAGACUGGCACUGAACUUCAAUUAAUUUUCUCCUGAAUUGGUCCUUCAGUUCCUGGGUGGCGUUUGGUGGGUCCACUGGAAGAUCUGAGAUGCUAGGAAAUGUCCCCACUGUUGGAGAUCAGAUGACCAGGAAAGAUGUUCUGUAGCAUGUUAAUGGAAUGCUGCAAGGUAUGGUCUUGUUGGAAGAAUGUCUCUAAAGUUACAGUAAGAUCAGGAAGUAGUCACAUUAGGGUGUGUUUCACUAUGUGAACAUAAUGUUUUGUGUUCAUGGUUCUGGCAUUAGCACAGUUGUCUUAGAAAAAAAAAAGCACCCAACAAUUCCAAAUAUUAAUAUACUGCACCACAUCACCACUUUAUGACUGAAGUUGUGUUUCAUGAAGCAUUUCAGGAUUUUCACAUGAUCAGUCGCUAAAGUUUUCCUUGUCAGCAAAGCCGGACACCUCAUCAUUCAUGGUCAGAUUGUUGCACAGAUGUGUGUGGUUGUUCAUGAACCCCAAAAACUUCUGGUGAAAGAAUAGUAUUUUCAGGAGCUCAUUUGCAUCAGUUUCUUGCACUAUCUGAAUUUUGUAUAGGUAGUUUUGAAGUUAUUUGUGCUAUAUUCACCACAGACUGCAAUCUGUUACAUCAAGUUUCAGCACAUGCCUUUGUGCAGAAUGCCUGGAAUUUCGGCUGAAGGCUCCUUCCGUUCUUGCAACAUUCUCUAUUGUACACAUCCAUUUUGCACUUCCAUCCUUCUUUUGCACCUCAUCACCCAUUUCCUCAAAGUUUUGUUCCUUUACUUUAAUAGCAUGUGCUGAUGGGACAGGGGCAGGCCUUGCGAGUUUGUAAUGAGUACAAAAAACACACUGCAUAGCUGCUUAGUUGUCAUUUUUGUAAAUCACCUUCGUGGCAACAACACAUUGCUCACUGGCCCAUGAUUUCAUCUGCACUGAACAUAAAUAUCAGGGUCAGUGGCAUCACUCCUGUUUUGUGAUUCCUACUUCCAGUGUUGCCAAAUCUCUCAUUUCACUGCCACACCUGUUGUUUGUUAUUUUACCUUUCAUAUCCAAAGCUAAAGAACCCAUGCAUGUGCAUAUGAAAUUGAUAAUUGCAGUAAGUAAUCUUCAGUGGUUUCAAUUGUAGUUUUCAUGUUCAUGUUUUAUUGAUAUUCCUGAUGCACACUUAAUUGUAAGAUCAUAAUGCAAUGGACAAUAUGGAGAUAUUACUAUACCUGAAAAAUAAACUUACUUUCCUACUUCCUUACUACUUUAUUUUCCAAGAGGCUUAGGUACUGCCUCAUAUUAAUUUUACAAGCAGUUAGCAAAGUUUGUGUUAAAUGUUAUCAAACCGUGCUUUUUUCCAAAGAUUGUAGCCAGUGGAUUAUACGCUCAGCAAUAUUGCAACUUAUUUGUACCCUCUGCAUAGGACAUUACAUUACUAUGAAAUAAACACAAGUGACCAUGCUCAACUUA